rnacentral:rRNA from 1 species
GACGAACGCUGGCGGCGUGCUUAACACAUGCAAGUCGAACGGAAAGGCCCUGCUUUUGUGGGGUGCUCGAGUGGCGAACGGGUGAGUAACACGUGAGUAACCUGCCCUUGACUUUGGGAUAACUUCAGGAAACUGGGGCUAAUACCGGAUAGGAGCUCCUGCUGCAUGGUGGGGGUUGGAAAGGUUCGGCGGUUGGGGAUGGACUCGCGGCUUAUCAGCUUGUUGGUGGGGUAGUGGCUUACCAAGGCUUUGACGGGUAGCCGGCCUGAGAGGGUGCCCGGCCACAUUGGGACUGAGAUACGGCCCAGACUCCUACGGGAGGCAGCAGUGGGGAAUAUUGCACAAUGGGCGGAAGCCUGAUGCAGCAACGCCGCGUGCGGGAUGACGGCCUUCGGGUUGUAAACCGCUUUCGCCUGUGACGAAGCGUGAGUGACGGUAAUGGGUAAAGAAGCACCGGCUAACUACGUG